GACAAACGCUGGCGGCGUGCCUAAUACAUGCAAGUUGAGCGAUGAAGAUUGGUGCUUGCACCAAUUUGAAGAGCAGCGAACGGGUGAGUAACGCGUGGGGAAUCUGCCUUUGAGCGGGGGACAACAUUUGGAAACGAAUGCUAAUACCGCAUAACAACUUUAAACAUAAGUUUUAAGUUUGAAAGAUGCAAUUGCAUCACUCAAAGAUGAUCCCGCGUUGUAUUAGCUAGUUGGUGAGGUAAAGGCUCACCAAGGCGAUGAUACAUAGCCGACCUGAGAGGGUGAUCGGCCACAUUGGGACUGAGACACGGCCCAAACUCCUACGGGAGGCAGCAGUAGGGAAUCUUCGGCAAUGGACGAAAGUCUGACCGAGCAACGCCGCGUGAGUGAAGAAGGUGUUCGGAUCGUAAAACUCUGUUGGUAGAGAAGAACGUUGGUGAGAGUGGAAAGCUCAUCAAGUGACGGUAACUACCCAGAAAGGGACGGCUAACUACGUG
rnacentral:rRNA from 1 species